UACAGAGGCCCAAGCGUUACUGAGAAUCACUGGGUUUAAAGGGUGCGUAGGUGGCGCGUUAAGUCCGUUGUGAAAUCCCUUGGCUCAACCAAGGAAAUGCUUCGGAUACUGGCGUGCUUGAGGCUAGUAGGGUCACUGGAACUGACGGUGGAGCGGUGAAAUGACGUAGAUAUCGUCAGGAACGCCGAUGGUGAAGACAGGUGACUGGGCUAGUUC
rnacentral:rRNA from 1 species